rnacentral:rRNA from 1 species
CGGUGGAGCAUGUGGUUUAAUUCGAAGCAACGCGAAGAACUUACCAGGCCUUGACAUGCAGAGAACUUUCCAGAGAUGGAUUGGUGGCCUUCGGGAACUCUGACACAGGUGCUGCAUGGCUGUCGUCAGACUCGUGUCGUGAGAUGUUGGGUUAAGUCCGUAACGAGCGCAACCCUUGUCCUUAGUUACCAGCACGUUAUGGUGGGCACUCUAAGGAGACUGCCGGUGACAAACCGGAGGAAGGUGGGGAUGACGUCAAGUCAUCAUGGCCCUUACGGCCUGGGCUACACACGUGCUACAAUGGUCGGUACAAAGGGUUGCCAAGCCGCGAGGUGGAGCUAAUCCCAUAAAACCGAUCGUAGUCCGGAUCGCAGUCUGCAACUCGACUGCGUGAAGUCGGAAUCGCUAGUAAUCGUGAAUCAGAAUGUCACGGUGAAUACGUUCCCGGGCCUU